GAGUCUCGGAGCUGGUCUGUGGGAUGACGAUGCUGCGGUCCAGAUCUGGUGUUCUUGUUCCACGCGGUCCAAACACAUUCAGGGCACAGGCACGCUUCCCGUGUUAAACUUGCUGUAGAAAUUUUCAUCGACCUGAUCGAGGCUCACUCCUUUAACCGUAGAGAACUGAUCGAUGUCCAGGACGUCCGCGCAGUAAACGGCUCUCGGCUGGUGGAGAGAAUAACAUCACAGGAUUGUUUUCAGUUUCACCUGUACAGGUGAGCCAACAGGUGAAGACUCAGAUGUGUCACCGGCAGA